rnacentral:pre_miRNA from 1 species
UCUUCUUGUUGACUCGGUGGCUCAUUCUCGGCUUGUGUCAGAAUUAUUGCUGAUCCGAAAUGAUCGUGAUCAGAAGGAUAAAAAUGAUAACAAGCAUUCUAGAA